AGGGGCAACUCUUGAUUAAAGUGGCGCACGGGUGAAAAACGCGUAGGUAAUCUACCUUGGUGACCGGAAUAACCAGUCAAAAGAUUGGUUAAUACUGGAUAGGACCCUUUUAAUGUAAAUUUAAGUGUGGGAAAGGGUGGCGUAUUAAUACCCUAUUGUACUGAAAUGAGCCUGCGUCUCAUUACCUAGUUGGUAGGGUAAAGGCCUACCAAGGCAGUGAUGGGUAGCUGGUCUGAAAGGACAAUCAGCCACACUGGAACUGAAAAACGGUCCAAACUCCUACGGGAGGCAGCAGUGGGAAAUCUUGCGCAAUGGGCAAAAGCCUGACCCACCGACCCCGUGUGAGUGAAAAAGGCCUUCGGGUUGUAAAGCUCUGUCAAGUGGAAAAAAUGGUUAUUGAAAUAAUACGCCAGUAAAUUGAUGGUACCACUAGAGGAAGCACCGGCUAACUCCGUG
rnacentral:rRNA from 1 species